CCUACGGGGGGCAGCAGUGGGGAAUUUUGCGCAAUGGGCGAAAGCCUGACGCAGCAACGCCGCGUGGGUGAUGAAGGUCUUCGGAUCGUAAAACCCUGUCGUUGGGGACGAAGGUGGGGGCGUUAAUAGCGUUUCUGCUUGACGGUACCCGGAGAGGAAGCCCCGGCUAACUCUGUGCCAGCAGCCGCGGUAAUACAGAGGGGGCAAGCGUUAGUCGGAAUUAUUGGGGGUAAGGGCUCAUGGGCGGUUUGUAAUCCCCGGGCUCAACUUGGGAACUGCAGCUGAGACUGGAAGGCUAGAGUACUGGAGAGGGUGGUGGAAUUCCUCGUGUAGCGGGGAAAUGCGUAGAGAUGAGGAGGAACACCAGUGGCGAAGGCGGCCACCUGGACAGUAACUGACGCUGAGGCGCGAAAGUGUGGGUAGCAAACAGGAUUAGAUACCCUUGUAGUC
rnacentral:rRNA from 1 species